AACGCACCUUGCGCUCCCUGGUCAUUCCGGGGAGCAUGCCUGUUUGAGUGUCAUUAUACUCUCAACCCCUGGGGUCUUAACGGACCACCUCGGGCUUGGAUCAUGACUCGGCAUAAUAAAUCCAAUUUUUCGUCGGGGCCACCCUUUGCGGGGUGGCCGGGCUCGCGGUCUCGGGUUGCUGACAAUCCAAUAGUCCCAUCUAUUUUAGACCUCAAAUCAGGUAGGAUUACCCGCUGAACUUAA
rnacentral:misc_RNA from 1 species